GGCAUUAAUAAAUGCCAAAUGGUGCCUAUGUGGCAUGAUGACAUGGCGGGUCAUCACACUCUCCCCCAUCCAAUAUUGCAACAACUGCGGUGCAAUGCUGUUGCAUAAACUCCCGGAUCUUAUCUUUGAAUUGCCACAAGUCUUCAUAUCGUUUCCACGUGGCCUCUUCCAAACAUGAUGACAUGGUGGGUCAUCACACUAUCCCCACCCAAUAUUGCGACGACCACGGCGCAAUGCUGUUGCAUAAACUCUCGGAUCUUAUCUUUGAAUUGUCACAAGUCUUCAUAUCGUUCCCACGUGGCCUCUUCCGGUGAUUGCCCUUUCCAAUGGACGAGGAACAUAGCGGUAGCUUUUUGCCCUUGUUUUUGCCUGGCCUGGUAAUCUAUGAUAGUCUCAAUCUCCCGAUCAUACGAGGCGGUGAUAGUCAUUGGUGCCCGACUUGAUUGGCCCCUACUCGGAUCAUCCUUAUCUUCAUGAUAUGG
rnacentral:lncRNA from 1 species